rnacentral:rRNA from 1 species
AGCAGUGGGGAAUAUUGCACAAUGGGCGCAAGCCUGAUGCAGCCAUGCCGCGUGUAUGAAGAAGGCCUUCGGGUUGUAAAGUACUUUCAGCAGUGAGGAAGGUGGAUAUGUUAAUAGCAUAUUCAUUUGACGUUAGCUGCAGAAGAAGCACCGGCUAACUCCGUGCCAGCAGCCGCGGUAAUACGGAGGGUGCGAGCGUUAAUCGGAAUUACUGGGCGUAAAGCGCAUGCAGGUGGUUUGUUAAGUCAGAUGUGAAAGCCCGGGGCUCAACCUCGGAAUUGCAUUUGAAACUGGCAAACUAGAGUACUGUAGAGGGGGUAGAAUUUCAGGUGUAGCGGUGAAAUGCGUAGAGAUCUGAAGGAAUACCGGUGGCGAAGGCGGCCCCCUGGACAGAUACUGACACUCAGAUGCGAAAGCGUGGGGAGCAAACAGGAUUAGAUACCCUGGUAG